rnacentral:misc_RNA from 1 species
GCUAGCGCCAUCAAUUUGUUUAAAUUUCUCCAAAUAUUUGGGCAAGAAAUAAAAUGGGAGAAGAGAAGGAGGUGAUUUCUCAUGUUAUUACCACUCCUCCUUUUGAAGUUGAAGUUCCUAAAACUCUUCAUCAGAUUGGCCAAGAAAUUUAAAUUUAUGGGAGAAGAGAAGGAGGUGAUGUCUCAUGUUAUUUCCAAUCCCUCUUUUGAAGUUGAAACUCUUCAUCAGAUUGGCCAAGAAAUUUAAAUUUAUGGGAGAAGAGAAGGAGGUGAUGUCUCAUGUUAUUUCCAAUCCCUCUUUUGAAGUUG